rnacentral:rRNA from 1 species
UGAACGCUGGCGGCGUGCCUAACACAUGCAAGUCGAACGGAAGAUUAUCGCUGAUGAAGCUUCGGCAGAAUCUUGAUAAUCUUUAGUGGCGGACGGGUGAGUAACGCGUGGGCAACCUGCCUCGUACUGGGGGAUAACAGUUGGAAACGACUGUUAAUACCGCAUAAGCGCACGGUAUCGCAUGAUACAGUGUGAAAAACUCCGGUGGUACGAGAUGGGCCCGCGUCAGAUUAGCCAGUUGGUGGGGUAACGGCCUACCAAAGCAACGAUCUGUAGCCGGACUGAGAGGUCGGACGGCCACAUUGGGACUGAGACACGGCCCAAACUCCUACGGGAGGCAGCAGUGGGGGAUAUUGCACAAUGGGCGAAAGCCUGAUGCAGCGACGCCGCGUGAGUGAAGAAGUAUUUCGGUAUGUAAAGCUCUAUCAGCAGGGAAGAAAGACUCGUAAGAGAGAUGACGGUACCUGACUAAGAAGCCCCGGCUAACUACGUGCCAGCCGCUGC